rnacentral:rRNA from 1 species
AGCUCCAAUAGCGUAUAUUAAAGUUGUUGCAGUUAAAAAGCUCGUAGUUGGAUUUCGGGAUGGCUCGGCCGGUCUGCCGCAAGGUAUGUUACUGGCCGCGCUGUUCUUCCUCGCAAAGACUGUGUGUGCUCUUAACUGAGUGUGCAUAGGAUCUGCGACGUUUACUUUGAAAAAAUUAGAGUGUUCAAAGCAAGCCAGCGCUUGAAUACAUAAGCAUGGAAUAAUGGAAUAGGACUUUGGUUCUAUUUUGUUGGUUUCUGGAACCGAAGUAAUGAUUAAGAGAGACAGUUGGGGGCAUUCGUAUUUCGUUGUCAGAGGUGAAAUUCUUGGAUUUACGAAAGACGAACUACUGCGAAAGCAUUUGCCAAGAAUGUUU